rfam:Kockovaella imperatae strain NRRL Y-17943 BD324scaffold_3, whole genome shotgun sequence.
GCCUGGCUAGCUCAAUCGGUAGAGCAUUCGACUCUUAUACUGAGCUCGCAAGAGCGGUUAGGAGCUUGAACCAAGUCACAUCGAAAGGUUGGGGGUUCGACCCCCCCGUUAGGCU